UAGGGAAUCUUCGGCAAUGGACGGAAGUCUGACCGAGCAACGCCGCGUGAGUGAAGAAGGUUUUCGGAUCGUAAAGCUCUGUUGUUAGAGAAGAACGUUGGUAGGAGUGGAAAAUCUACCAAGUGACGGUAACUAACCAGAAAGGGACGGCUAACUACGUGCCAGCAGCCGCGGUAAUACGUAGGUCCCGAGCGUUGUCCGGAUUUAUUGGGCGUAAAGCGAGCGCAGGCGGUUCUUUAAGUCUGAAGUUAAAGGCAGUGGCUUAACCAUUGUACGCUUUGGAAACUGGAGGACUUGAGGGCAGAAGGGGAGGGUGGAAUUCCAUGUGUAGCGGUGAAAUGCGUAGAUAUAUGGAGGAACACCGGUGGCGAAAGCGGCUCUCUGGUCUGUAACUGACGCUGAGGCUCGAAAGCGUGGGGAGCAAACAGG
rnacentral:rRNA from 1 species